rnacentral:rRNA from 1 species
GUGGGGAAUCUUGCGCAAUGGGCGAAAGCCUGACGCAGCCAUGCCGCGUGAAUGAUGAAGGUCUUAGGAUUGUAAAAUUCUUUCACCGGGGACGAUAAUGACGGUACCCGGAGAAGAAGCUCCGGCUAACUUCGUGCCAGCAGCCGCGGUAAUACGAAGGGGGCUAGCGUUGCUCGGAAUUACUGGGCGUUAAGGGCGCGUAGGCGGACAGCUUAGUCAGAGGUGAAAGCCCAGGGCUCAACCUUGGAAUUGCCUUUGAUACUGGCUGUCUUGAGUUUGGGAGAGGUGAGUGGAACUCCGAGUGUGGAGGUGAAAUUCGUAGAUAUUCGGAAGAACACCAGUGGCGAAGGCGACUCACUGGCCCAAUACUGACGCUGAGGCGCGAAAGCGUGGGGAGCAAACAGGAUUAGAUACCCGAGUAGUCC